rnacentral:sRNA from 1 species
UUCUGGCUAUUCACAUCCUCAUGGGGGU